CAGGAACAGGGGGAGAGAGGGAGGAGGAGGAGGAGGGCUGUGACUAAAGCCUGUCUCUCAGAGAGGAGUGUGUGCCGUGUGGAUCUCGCUUGAUAUAUUCACCAGGCAGUGCAGAGGAGAGGACCUGAGAGGAAGUGUCUUGUUGCUCAUAGGAAGAGUGCAGGAGUGUUCAUGUGUGGAGUCCAGUAAACUGAGACACAAAGGAAUACUAAGCUUUUCUGGAAAAAAGAACUGCUCUGUCAGCUCUAGAAGUCCAGUGAAGAGACGGUGCAGUUGGACCAAAAGAAGAGGUACUCCAGUCCAGGAGGAAAGCAAGAAACAGAGGAAAGAGAGAUGUCAAGUGCCAUUCUGAGACGAAACUCCAGCAAGCAGGGCUUGCAGAACCUCCUAAGAGUGACAGCCCAGCGCAGUAUUGAGGAUGCAGAGGAGAUUGAGAGGGAGCGACGACGCAGGGCUCGAGAAGCUCUCCGGAAGGAAAAGAGUCUCACUGGAACUUCCGGGUCUCCUCAGGACAGCUCAGUACCAACUGAAGAUCGUCUCUAUGAGAGCGAGCUGAAACCAAGCAGCCCUGGAGGACUGGAGGAGGAUGAAGGCUUCAGUGACUGGACCCAGAGAGCAGAAAGGGGCAGACGGGCCAGACAGGAGGAGAACGGCCCCAGAGAAGAGGACCUGGAGGUGGAAAGAGCCAUGAAUGGAGCAACCAGGGGACAGGAGAAGAUAGGCUCCACCGCACUCACUCCGCAGCAUAAGGCGCAAUACGAAGUGAAGGAAGAGGAGGAGUACAGGCCAGUGAGGAAGAGUAGCGAGAAACGGAUGGAGUUUGGAGAGCGGCCAAGCAGCUUCAGGGACAGAGAGGCAGAGGAAUGGAAGGCAGAGGUGUCGAGAGUUGACAAGAGACAAAAUGAGGAUCCAAGAUCGCACACAGAAGUGAAAGAAAAGAGACAAGAAGUAAAGGUCUCAUACACAUCUAAAGUCUUCCUGCAGCAUGACAGAAUGCCCAGUGCCAACGGUGAUGAUACUGCUGGAGAGGAAGUCACAUCACAGCUGUUCAAAACCAAAAAGACUACAAGGAGCGUGGAUCAGGCCCCUGAACCAAGGGAGCAGGCUGAGGCCAGUCUGGAAACAGAGCAGAAGCUGGAGAAGAUCCGACGCAGCCACCAAGAGAAGGAGAGCCAGGAGUUGGAGCAGCUCCGCCAGCGGCAGGCCGAGGCCGAGGUGGAGCUAGAGGAACUGAAGAGGAGGAGAGAAGAACGACGGAGAUUCCGCCAGGAAGAGGAGCGCAGAAGGGAAGAGGAGGAGCAGCACAGACUAGUGAAGGAGGAGGUGCUGGAAUAG
ensembl:lncRNA